GCCCGUUUGGCUAAGUGGUAUAGCGUAUCGCUAGUAGUACCAGAGUUAUGAUAAGGUCAUCAGUUCGAUUCUGAUAAUGGGCA